rnacentral:rRNA from 1 species
UACGGAGGGUGCAAGCAUUGAUCGGAAUUACUGGGCGUAAAGGGCGCGUAGGCGGCUGUAAAAGUCAGAUGUGAAAUUCCGGGGCUCAACCCCGGAGCUGCAUUUGAAACUUUAUAGCUAGAGUGCAGUUAGGGAAAACGGAAUUCCACGUGUAGCGGUGAAAUGCGUAGAUAUGUGGAAGAACACCGGUGGUGAAGACGGUUUUCUGGGCUGUAACUGACGCUGAGGCGCGAAAGCAAGGGGAGCAAACAGG